GUUCUCACUUCAGCAGCGCACAUGCUAAAAUUUGCAAAGAUACAGGGAAGAUUAACAUGGCCCCUGUGCAAGGAUGACACUAAAAUAUGUGAAGCAUUCCAUAUUUUU